CUGGGAGCCUCCGAGGCUGACAGCUCUUCUGGGGCCGCCCUUGCCCCCGCGGAGUGAUUCAACCCCGGCUCGCUGCCUCUGCCUGGCGGGUCGGUGCACCCCCAGACCGAGGCCUGGGGCGUUCUGCUUCAGCAGACCGAAACCAGAAACGCAGCCCCCGCCACCCAGGCCGAGUGUGCCGAGAAGGAGCCGGCACCCUUUUCAGGGUGUCAGGGGACUGUGUGCCCGGUAGGAGGGGGCGCCUCCUGGAGCCCGAAGGGAGGGCGCAGUAGGGAGCCAAGGGUGGGUGGGAGGCCACCCCUCCACCUCCAGGGGCGGGCGGCUCCUCCAGGCAGGUGACAGCAGCGGGACAGCAGUGCUUUGCCCUCCAGGACCUGUGCACCCUCCUGUCUACCUGGAGACCCUCUUCGCCAUCGUUGCCAGCGUACUCCUGGCCUCAGACUCCCCAGAGGGGACCCCCCCCACACACACCCCUGCAGAGCCUGGCAGAGGGCAGCUGUGGGGGCUGCUGGAGCCGCGGGUGUGAUCUGGAGGGGACACGGGGCCCGGCUGUGUUUCUGGGGCAUAAGUGAGACUUCCUUUUGUUGUAGUCACUGCCCCGUUGAUCCACACACGUCACGAAUCAGUGACAGAGACUCGCUGUGGAAACCGGAGUGCGCUGGCCUGCCUGCUACCCUCCGGUGUUUGUGACUUUUUACCAGCUGUCCUGACGAAGCACAGGGUGGAGCGAGCGCUGGUGUGCUGGGUGGAUUCUCAUCCCCCGAUAGCUGGAAAGUUGCCCCUCAUGACACUGGCCACUGCAUCGACAGCCUCUGUUGCUGGGUGUUUCUUCUAAGCAAUUAAGUAGGAGAUGAUGAAACCUCUCUUCCGUGGGGGGAGGCAGGACCAGCGCCCCGUCUUUAUCAGCCAGUGGCCAUAAAUGUGGACCAUGAACUUUCCCACUUGCUGUCAGCCCGGGCAUCGCAGGUUUGCUGAGGUGCUGGAUAUUUGGAGGUGAGAGAUUUGAGGCACUCGAUUUUCUGGCAGGAACCAGCACAGGCCACGAGUCUCGGACUUCGUGCGGAGGUCUGCUGGUGUCUUCUGAGUGGGUGGAGCCAGGCGUGCCCACCAGAUGCGGGUAGCGUGUGCUAGGCCAGGACGGCUCCCCAGGCUCAAGUCGGCCUCCUCCUGGGCCGAGGUGGGUUGGCUGCCUGUCCCCAGCUGAGUUGUGGCUGUUCCCCUCACCUGCUCAGAUGAAGGCAGCGCUGUCAGAGGUGACCAGAGCCCGCUCCCUCGACCUUCAGGAUCCCCCGAGAGGGAGGCAACGUGUCAGGACGGUGUAUGUGGAGAGAGGCUUGAGGCUCGGUGCCCGAGCACGGGCAGGAGGACAGUGGCCUCGAUGCCAGAGACCGGAGGGAGGGACGCGACGAUGAGGCUGCAUAAGAAGAGAGCUGACUGUAGCUGAGUGUGUCAGCCACUCACCACCGAGUCCAGUUUCCGCACAGCACGAUCAUCGUGCCCUUGCUCACACACGUGUUAGAUGAGCUUGUGUGAGCUUUAUGGGCUGUAAUUUGUGAGUCUGUUCUGGGUGUGUGAUCCUGGCAGCCGGCUCGGCCUGGCCGCUCGUGACCUGGGGCCUUGUGGGGGUGGGGAGAGGGUGAGGAGGGGUGCACCCUCGACACCACCCUCUGAUGUGGCCUGCAGCCUAUGAAGAGUGAGGUUUGGGGGCCCAGAGUGUGAGUCACCAGCGGUAAAUGCAAACCAUAUGUGAUGCAUUUUCUCUGCUGCAGAAAGGGUUUCUGGUGACUGGCUCAGGCCAGGGCUCUGGAAACAGCAUUGCUUAUUUCACAUAAAAAUCCUAAGAAUGUGGGUGAACCUGUCUGAGAUCUGCGUAAUAAAACACUUAGUUGAAGUCACCGGGUUAGUUCCAGGCCCACUUGCUUAUGACGUGGCUGUUAGCCACGAGCUGGCAUUUACGUUAAAGUGUUGAGAAGAAGCGUGAGGGUUUUGAUGUUUCAGUUUCUUGAAAAUAUAACUGUUUCUACUCAGGACCUGCCUCUCCAAGAGUGUAGCACACUUCAUUUUUUUCUGUUUAGCAUGUAUGAGGGUGAACUUAGCUUGCUACUCACACACUACUCACUCUGUGGAGGAAGUUUGCCUCGCUUUUGUGGUGAGUCUUGCUGUAAUGAUAGCUUAUAUUUACAAAUACCGUCAGCAGUGCAGGGUCUUCAGGCUUGCAGAAAACGGUCAAGUCAUUACUUUGAGAAAUGUACAAACAUCUAUGCUUAAUGAGGUGCUAAAAGACAAAACUCAUCUACAAUCUCCUUCCCCCCAAACUGCCAACACUUCUGAUUAAUUUAAAAUCUGCUCUAAACGACAAAACUCAUCUACAACCUCCUUCCCCCCAAACUGCCAACACUUCUGAUUAAUUUAAAAUCUGCUCUAAAAGACAAAACUCAUCUACAACCUCCUUCCCCACAAACUGCCAACACUCUGGAUUAAUUUAAAAGCUGCUCUCUGGGCAGGUUGCAUCCCAGGGCUCCUCCUUCACACAUGGUGGGGCCCCACCUUCGCUUUACCUCUAGCGUCCCAGCCCUCGUGGUCAUCUGGAACCAGGGUUGGUACACAGGGCCUGCUGGCAUUCCUAUGAUACUCCGUGAUAUUCUGGAGGAAUCCAUCCCUUCCUUGGGGCUCCAUCCCACUGCCCCAGCACCUCCAGCCACCCUGAUUCAGGGACAUCGCAGAGAUUGGUGUUUGACGCUACGGCAGCAGAGGCGCAGACUCUUGAGUGUUGGAGGGUGUCUGGAGGGCCUGGGGGCCAGCACCGCCUGCACUCCCGGGAGCUCGGCCCCGCCCCACCGUGGCUCUGAGUGUCGGAGGGCGUCUGGAGGACCUGGGGGCCAG
rnacentral:lncRNA from 1 species